GGGAGAUUGAUUUAGGCAAUAUGUGUUUACCCAAAUUGGAAUAUGCUUUGAAGUCUGAUGGUGAGUGACAUAUACUUCAAAGAGCUCUAAGAAUUUAUGGAAUAGAUUGGAAGCCUGAGAGUACCACAUGAACCCAGCAGCAUGGACAUAAUUCCAGAAAUCUGGAUGCUCAUGUCUGACACAAGUGAACAUAUGAAACACAACUAACACUGAUCCCUUUUUAUAGGAGAUGGGCCUGUGAUGUUUGGAACUAGUUACAUUUUGCAGUGUCAAGUAGUAGAGAGCAUGGGAAGAAGUGCGUCACUGGUCAGUUCAAGACUGACUGAUAAAUAGGAUGGAUCUUGCUAACUCCUUUGUAAUCUAUUUGCUACUUAGAGAAAUACCUUCUGCAGUGAAAUAUAUCUUCCUCAGAACAAUGUGGAAUCUAAUUACAUAAGAAAUAAAAUCAAAUCAAGAUACAGUAGAAGCUAUGUCCAGAUCAACAGAUAAAUGAAGAAAAAUUUGAUGAUGCAGAGAGAGGAAGAAAUGUAUCACAGCAUGAAGGAGGAAGAAGAGCAGUCAUCUCUGGUACCUUGGGUGAGAGCACAGGAAGAAAGCCAUGGUCUCGCCCUUUGCUUGAGAAUGUCUGAGCAAUGAUGAACUCCGUGACCUUGGGAUGUUACCUUACUCAGGUGAUCAGAAAACAUUUUGCUGACUUUUGACUUAAGCCUCAGAACAGAAAUAAAAAUCAUCAGAGGUAAAAUACUAGGAAAAUUUAAGCAUUAGUUACCUCCAAUAGCUAAAAAAAAAAACACCCACAACACUAAUUGGAUACUCAAAGGCUAUAAUUCUGUUCAAAACAGAUCCUGUUUUCUUCUGUGUAUAAUAACAUAAUGCAAAGACGUUUUUCAAAGGGAAAAAUAUCCCAUGUGCUGCUAUGCAUGAAUUAAUAUAAAAUGUCUGCUCAUUGAAAUAAUGGAUUUUCAUGCAUUUUUUCCAUUUCCAGUAUUUCAAGAAAUCUAAUUUGGAAAAGGAACCCCCUGCACUGGCUGAUUUCCUCUCUGUGGGGGUCUAAGUGUAAUUGAUACUGUACAACAACAAUCAGGCUGUUUUCAGCCUCAGAUUUUGUACAUAUAAGUGAGAGAAGGCAAUAUUUAAGUGAGGGGGAUAGAGACUGUGCUCACAUAAAUAUUUAAAUAUAAUAGGCCUAAUUAAUUUCCAGUAUAAUUACAUGGAUAUUACAUUGGUUACAUCUAUAAUUCAGAAAUUAAUCUGAUAAGUACUGGCUCAGUUGAGCUAAAGCAGAAAUUACCCAGUGUUAGAAAAUGUC
rnacentral:lncRNA from 1 species